rnacentral:rRNA from 1 species
UACCAGCACCCCGAGUGGUCGGGACGAUUAUUGGGCCUAAAGCAUCCGUAGCCGGUUUUACAAGUCCUCCGUUAAAUCCAACUGCUUAACAGAUGGGCCGCGGAGGAUACUAUAAGACUAGGAGGCAGGAGAGGCAAGCGGUACUCAGUGGGUAGGGGUAAAAUCCGUUGAUCCAUUGAGGACCACCAGUGGCGAAGGCGGCUUGCCAGAAUGCGCUCGACGGUGAGGGAUGAAAGCUGGGGGAGCAAACCGG